GAUGAACGCUGGCGGCGUGCCUAAUACAUGCAAGUCGAGCGAACGGACGAGAAGCUUGCUUCUCUGAUGUUAGCGGCGGACGGGUGAGUAACACGUGGAUAACCUACCUAUAAGACUGGGAUAACUUCGGGAAACCGGAGCUAAUACCGGAUAAUAUUUUGAACCGCAUGGUUCAAAAGUGAAAGACGGUCUUGCUGUCACUUAUAGAUGGAUCCGCGCUGCAUUAGCUGGUUGGUAAGGUAACGGCUUACCAAGGCAACGAUGCAUAGCCGACCUGAGAGGGUGAUCGGCCACACUGGAACUGAGACACGGUCCAGACUCCUACGGGAGGCAGCAGUAGGGAAUCUUCCGCAAUGGGCGAAAGCCUGACGGAGCAACGCCGCGUGAGUGAUGAAGGUCUUCGGAUCGUAAAACUCUGUUAUUAGGGAAGAACAUAUGUGUAAGUAACUGUGCACAUCUUGACGGUACCUAAUCAGAAAGCCACGGCUAACCACGUG
rnacentral:rRNA from 1 species